AAAAAAUUUUCGUAUAAAAAUUUUACGUGAUUUGGAUAUUUCUACACCGUUAAACUUGCAAACGGCUCACUACGGCCAUUGAAAUUUGUUGAUUUUGAGCCCAUUCGAUCACUAGGCAAAUGAUAUCGAAAAAUAAUAAAAUUUAUUUUCUAGGUACUCCAAAUACUCUAGAUCAAGUUUAACGGAGCCGAUCGACGAUUCAAAAGUCGCAACAUCGAAAACGAGCUGGAAGCACGGAAGGCUCCGGUGCUUCCGAUAGCAUAGUAGCCUCACUCUAUACAUAUAUGUACAUAUAUGUAUAUAUAUGUAUAUAUAUGUACAUAUAUGUAGAUACAUAUAUGUAUAUAUAUGUAUAUAUAUGUAUAUACAUAUAUGUAUGUAUAUAUAUCUAUAUAUAUAUAUAUAUAUAUAACAGAGUAUAAAGUAGGACUACUAUACUCUUAUGAGUAUAGAGCCCUUCAUACUCAUAAGUUGUUUUCGAUGAUGGAGCUUCUGAAUCGAUGAUCCACUCCGUUAAAUAUGAUCUAGAGUAUUUGAAACGUCUAAAAAAUAAAUUUCGUAAUUUUUUGAAAUCAUAAUAAAACCCAUCAAACGGGCAAAAUAUGAAUGGUCAAAAUCGAACGACGUCCUAAAAAUAGAUGAUCAGAUUCUUUAAUUUAGGAUAGAAGUUAUCAAUCUUUAUCUAUAUAGUAAAUUGAAUUUUCUAUCAAAAAUUCAACCGAUUCCGAUUCUUUCAAACCAUUAAUAAACUAGCAAAUAUUCCAUACCGGCCCUUAAAAAUUAUCAAUUUUGAGAUCUUUUGAUCGUAAGGUAAAUAAUGUCAAAAAAUUAUAAAAUUUGAUUUAUAAAAAUUUUAAAUGCUCUAGAAAAUAUUUAAUGGUAUGGAUCGUCGAUUCAGAAGUUCUAUCUUCGAAAACGACUUAUGAGUAUGAAGGCGAUCCUACUCAUAAGAGUAUAGUAGCCGAACUAUAUAUACUGCAACACAAUUAGGUUAUAGCGACAUAUUUUUGGGACACUUUUAUGUAAGUGUUCUAUUUAUGCCAAAAAAUUUUUAAAAAAAUUACUAAUGCCUAAAUAUAAAAAAGCACAAUCCAAUCAAAAAAAAAAAAUUUGCUUUACUCAACCAACCACACCCAGCCCAAUCUUCUCGAAUACAAAUAGAAAAGGAAAAAAAAAAUUAAUCACCAUCUCCCCUUCUCCUUCUCCGCCGCCGCCAGUCCAACUCUAUAUAUAUAUAUAUAUAUAGAGAGAGAGAGAGAGAGAGAGAGAGAGUUGGACUGGGCUACUAUUAGUAGCAAAAUUCCUUUGUUGCUACUAGUUUUUUAGCCUUUGGAUCAACUCUUUUCGUUAUUUCUAACCAUUGGAUUAAAUACUAUAACCCAGUGGGGACCACUCAACCUUAGGGGGACCACUCAACUCUAACCGACUAAUAUCAUCCUGACCCUACAAUUUUUCAUCCAAGGGUUAAAAACUUGAUAGCAAAAAGAGCGUUUUACUAUUAAUAGUAUUUCAGCCUAAUUCUCUCUCUCUCUCUCU
rnacentral:lncRNA from 1 species